rnacentral:rRNA from 1 species
CGGGAGGCAGCAGUGGGGAAUAUGCACAAUGGAGGAAACUCUGAUGCAGCAACGCCGCGUGGAGGAUGACACAUUUCGGUGCGUAAACUCCUUUAUAUGGGAAGAUAAUGACGGUACCAUAUGAAUAAGCACCGGCUAACUCCGUGCCAGCAGCCGCGGUAAUACGGAGGGUGCAAGCGUUACUCGGAAUCACUGGGCGUAAAGCGCGCGCAGGCGGCUAUUUGAGUUGGAUGUGAAAGCCUACGGCUCAACCGUAGAACUGCAUCCAAAACUAUUUAGCUAGAGUGUGGGAGAGGAAGAUGGAAUUAGUUGUGUAGGGGUAAAAUCCGUAGAGAUAACUAGGAAUACCAAAAGCGAAGGCAAUCUUCUGGAACACUACUGACGCUGAGGCGCGAAGGCGUGGGGAGCAAACAGGAUUAGAUACCCUGGUAGUCCACGCAGUAAACGAUGAAUGUUAGUCGUCGGGUAGCUAGUCUAUUCGGUGAUGCAGCUAACGCAUUAAGCAUUCCGCCUGGGGAGUACGGUCGCAAGAUUAAAACUCAAAGGAAUAGACGGGGACCCGCACAAGUGGUGGAGCAUGUGGUUUAAUUCGAAGAUACGCGAAGAACCUUACCUAGCCUUGACAUAUAUUAGAACACUUUAGAGAUAGAGUGGUGCCUUCGGGAGCUUUUAUACAGGUGCUGCACGGCUGUCGUCAGCUCGUGUCGUGAGAUGUUGGGUUAAGUCCCGCAACGAGCGCAACCCUCGUCACUAGUUACUAACGGUUCGGCCGAGGACUCUAGUGAGACUGCCUUCGUAAGGAGGAGGAAGGUGAGGACGACGUCAAGUCAUCAUGGCCCUUACGGCUAGGGCAACACACGUGCUACAAUGGCCAGGACAAUGAGAAGCGAUACCGCGAGGUGGAGCAAAUCUAUAAACCUGGUCUCAGUUCGGAUUGUAGUCUGCAACUCGACUACAUGAAGCUGGAAUCACUAGUAAUCGUAGAUCAGCUAUGCUACGGUGAAUACGUUCCCGGGUCUUGUACUCACCGCCCGUCACACCAUGGGAGUUGAUUUCACCCGAAGCGGGGAAGCUAAACUGGCUACC